UUCCAUGGCCGAUUCCGGUGACACAGUCCAACCAAACACGCACCAACACGACAGCGACCCGAGCAGAGCCGUGGCGCCCCGCCUCAUCCCACCCUCCUUCCUCAUCCCUUUCUUGCUUGAUCGGCCUCGCCUCUUCAUCCUCCGCCCAAGUUUUCAAGCACGCAUCGUUGGUCCUUAAUCGGUUCUCCGCGCCCGAUUUCCCCGCGCUUCUAAAUGGGGAGUCGGCGGUGGGUCGCGGCGGCGGCGGCGGCGGCCAUGGUGGCCUUCUUGCUGCUGUCCGCAGCCUCGCACGGAGGACGGAGAGGACCCAGUUUCAACAGCAACAACCGGACUUUUGUUUUUAAUUAUACCCUAGCGAAGACUAUUGUGGAAUAUGCUUCAGCUGUGUAUAUGACGGACCUAACAGCUCUAUAUACAUGGACAUGCUCAAGAUGUAAUGACUUGACUAAAGGCUUUGAGAUUAGGUGUAUAAUUGUCGAUAUCCAGAACUGCUUGCAGGCAUUCAUUGGUGUUGAUCAUAAUCUCAAUGCUGUAAUCGUUGCAAUCAGGGGAACUCAAGAGAACAGAACUGGAUUAAGGACCUGGUAUGGAAGCAGGUUGACCUAAACUAUCCAAACAUGCCUGAUGCGAAGGUCUUUGGCACGAACUUGAGAUAUAUACUCUGUUUAUAUAGGAGUAGCUGUUAUUUAUUUUCUGAUGAGGUUUAUGUUCUGGUUAAAGGUCCACACUGGAUUUUACUCUGCUUACAAUAAUACACUUUUACGUCCAGCCAUCACAAAUGCUGUUCGCAAGGCAAGAAGAUUGUAUGGAGAUAUUAGCAUAAUAGUUACAGGGCAUUCGAUGGGAGGAGCUAUGGCUUCUUUCUGUGCACUUGAUCUCGCUAUUAGCCUUGGAAGUGACACUGUUCAUCUCAUGACUUUUGGGCAACCACGUAUUGGCAAUGCUGCCUUUGCCUCCUACUUUGAACAAUAUGUACCCAGUGCGAUCCGAGUGACACAUGAACAUGAUAUUGUGCCUCAUUUACCCCCUUAUUUCUUCUUCCUCCCGCGCCUGACAUACCACCACUUCCCUAGAGAGGUAUGGGAACAUGAUGUUGAUGGCAACACAACCUUCCGAGUUUGCGACGGCAGCGGAGAAGAUCCAGAUUGUUGCAGGAGUGUGUUUGCGUUGUUCUUGAGCGCCUCAGACCAUCUGACCUACAUGGGUGUUGAGAUAGCAGCAGACGACUGGAGCACCUGCAGAAUCGUCAUGGCCCAGAGCGUCGAACGGCUCCAAUUGUAUCUUAAGAGUAAUGUUAUCACGUGGAAGAACCCUGUCGAUAUCAUCAUUGCAGAUCAUAGCGUGCAGACUGAUCCGAGCAGUUCCAGCUAGUCAUUAUUCAUACAAGCUGGUGUAUAGUGUUGCCAGCAUUUGCAUGGUUUUAGGCAUUCAGCCAAUGGGAUGGUUUCAACAUUUUUAGCAUGACAGAUAUGUGGUUCUUUUAUCUGUAGCUUGUAAAUGUAGAGAGAUGUGCAGAAGCAGAACACCAAAGUGUCAUAGGGACAAGUUUCUCAGAAUCUUGGGUCCAGUGGUAGUACAUGACUAGGUUUUUUUUGGAAGUGUUAAAAUUUUGUUGAAUAUGUGUAUAGGACUACAGUUAGGCUACACAAGAGAUUUAGGUGUUUGAGUCAAACAUUUGUAAUAUGAGCUUAUUAUUAUAUAAAGGCACCACGGGUAGCCAAAAUAGACUAUGACGGGGUUGGUAGCAUA